ACGAACGCUGGCGGCAUGCCUAACACAUGCAAGUCGAACGAGACCUUCGGGUCUAGUGGCGCACGGGUGCGUCACGCGUGGGAACCUGCCCUUAGGUUCGGAAUAACUCCCCGAAAGGGGUGCUAAUACCGGAUAAUGUCUUCGGACCAAAGAUUUAUCGCCUUUGGAUGGGCCCGCGUUGGAUUAGCUAGUUGGUAGGGUAAAAGCCUACCAAGGCGACGAUCCAUAGCUGGUCUGAGAGGAUGAUCAACCACACUGGGACUGAGACACGGCCCAGACUCCUACGGGAGGCAGCAGUGGGGAAUAUUGGACAAUGGGCGAAAGCCUGAUCCAGCAAUGCCGCGUGAGUGAUGAAGGCCUUAGGGUUGUAAAGCUCUUUUACCCGGGAUGAUAAUGACAGUACCGGGAGAAUAAGCUCCGGCUAACUCCGUG
rnacentral:rRNA from 1 species